UCGAGGAUCUUCCGCAAUGGGCGAAAGCCUGACGGAGCGACACCGCGUGCAGGAUGAAGGCCUUCGGGUUGUAAACUGCUGUCACGCACUAGGAAUCCCCUGCGGUGAAUAGCCGCAGGGUUGACUAAAGCGAGAGGAAGCACCGGCUAACUCUGUGCCAGCAGCCGCGGUAAGACAGAGGGUGCAAACGUUGUUCGGAAUCACUGGGCAUAAAGCGCACGUAGGCCGUCCACUAAGUCGAAUGUGAAAUACCCCGGCUCAACCGGGGAACUGCAUCCGAUACUGGUGGACUCGAGGAUGGUUGGGGUGAGUGGAACUCCAGGUGGAGCGGUGAAAUGCGUAGAUAUCUGGAGGAACACCGGUGGCGAAAGCGGCUCACUGGACCAUCUCUGACGCUGAGGUGCGAAAGCUAGGGGAGCAAACGGGAUUAGAUACCCCGGUAGUCCCUGAGCGGGCUGGCAAGGCGCAU
rnacentral:rRNA from 1 species